GUUGGUAAAUACUCUAUAUUGAUGCUGUCCAAGUAUCUGAAAAAAAGUAAAAUAUGAUGUUUUCAGAGCAGCACAUGCAAUAAUGGAAUAAACGAAAGCCAUGUACCAAAGAGGAAUUUUGUCAUGAAAACUACAGUGUAUAGAUAACCAAGUUUGUCUUUUUUUGUCACCUGUCUAAUUAUGUUUUAAGGCAACUUCAAUGUUAAGAUACAGACUAGACAAUUUUGUUUGUUCUUGAACUUUAUUUUCAUUCCAAUCAUUAAAUCGAAAGCACACUUUU